rnacentral:lncRNA from 10 species
UCUUGUUGGGGAAUGCUGGGAAAGACUCCUGCUGCUUCCUACUAGACGUGAGGCUUGCACUGCUCCCGCCAUGGAGCUCAGAUCAUGCCCUGGAGAAGCAGGUGACAUCGCGGAAUUUUCCUGUUCCAGAUGCCAGAAGUCUGAAAUGAAGGUGUAAAGCAGGGUGGUUCCUUCUGGAGGCUCUGAGAGAAUCACCCCAGGCCUCUCUCCAGCUUCUGGUGCUGGUAUUCUCAGGCUUGUAGGCGCAUCACCCAUGUCUGCCUCCAUCUUCACAUGGCCUUCUCCUCUGUGUCUGCCUGAAGUCUCCCUUCAUUUCUCUUGUAAGGACAUCAGUCAUUGGAUUUAGAGCCCACCCUAAACCCAGAAUGAUCUCAUCUCAAGAUUACAUCUGCACAGACGCUAUUUCCAGAUAAGGUCACAGUCAAAGUGCUGGCUUGUGUUUGACACCAUGCCUGACACAUUGGGGGUGCUCAGUAGACCUGUGUGAGAUGGACAGCCUCCCGUACAGAUGGACGGACAGAUGUACAGGUAGGUGAAUGAACUUUCGUUGCCCCUAAAGCAGGAGAGACUCUGAGUUUCUGAGACAACGGCCAAGAACUUUCUGAUAAGAUCUCUGCAUUUAAGGUUCAGAAAAACUCGAUGAGGACAAUAUUUUUCUCCCGAUUUUGCAGAUAAGAAAAUAGAGGCAUAGAGAAGUCACUUGCUAGUAAAUGUUAGAGGCAGCUUUCUAACCCAGGUCCAUGUGAACCCAGAAAAAGAGGCAGUGAGCACCUGUUCACCCAGGAGCAGCUCUCAGAAGAUAAGAUAAUACGAGGAGGAGGCAGCAGACCCCUAUGCCACGCGUCCACCUGGGGCUGUCCAUCACUUCCUGCAAGAUCUUGCUGGUAGCCAGAUUCUCAGAGACCCCCAGUGAGCCCCGCCUCCUGGUUUUCACACCCUGUGUAGUUUCCUUUCCCCAGGGAUGGUCCAAGUGACCAGCAGCCCGUGGCAGAAGUGAUGGAAUAGCACUUCCAAGCUUAGGUUAUGAAAGAUUGCAGCUUCAAUCUCCUGCCCCACACCCCGUCUCUCUCUCUAACCCCACUCCCUCCCUCCCUCUCUCAUCUCUGACUCUGGGGGAAGCACACUGCAGCCCCGUGGAGAUGCCCUGUGUAAGCCACUGAAGCCUCUGGCCAACAGCAGUGGGAACCUGAGACGUGUCCACAAGCAUGCAUGGGAGCUUGGAAGUGGAUCCUUCAGCCCCAGCCAAGCCUUCAGACGAUGCAGCCUCAGGGACAGUAUGACUGCAGCCUCAUGAGACCCUGAGCCAGAAACACCCCUCCAAGCCACUCCCAGAUGCCUGGCCCUCAGAACCUGGGAGGUAAUAAAUAUUUAUGGCUGUUUGAAGCUGCUGUAUCGGGGGACAAUUUGUUACACAGUAAUAGCUAACUGGUGCAGUCCUGGGACUCUUAGCAGUUUGGAGUAUCAGUUAUUUUGCCAAGGCGGGGAAGUUAACAGUGGUCAUUGCAGCAGCUGCACUUGGGGACCACAAUAAAGAAGCUUUCUCAGACUGGUUUGAACAAAGUGGUGAAUUCUCUGCAAGGACACAGAGGUGUCUCUCAAAACCCAAGGAUGGGACAGCAGGCCUCAAGAAGAACUGGAACCUCUGUCCCUUCUGUGCUUCUUUUUACUCCUGUGUUCUCUGCUUCUUGGAGCACUUGGCAGUUGGGAAGUGGCCAUUUCAAUUCUCGUGGUCAAGAAACCAGCUCAGAAAUAACCCAACCAACACAGGUGGGGUCAGGUGUCCAUCCUGGCUCCAUUUGUCAUGGCGGGAGAUGGUGAUGAAGAGAAACAUCCAGGACCAUUGGUAGGGCACCCGAAUGAGAUUCCAGGAGAGGCCAGUUCUAAGAGAAGGGUACUAGAAAGAUACCCAUUGAAGUCAAUACCACAUGUGGCACAUCCUCCUUUCAGGUGGCAAGUGUGUAGCCAAAGCAAGGUUCAGGGUCCAUAUUUGAAAGUCAGAAACUGAAUAAACUGUUUUCUCCCACCCCGAGCACUGUGGGGAACUCUGCUCACAAAUCCACCAUCCACCAUCACCAGCCGUGCUCAUCUGACCAUUCAUGCAGGCUCACACUUGACCUGAUGUGGGUUCUGUCUCCUUUGCUUGAGAAUUGAAAGGCCUGGGAGAUGCAAAAGCUUUAGGCUCCAGCCAUCUCCCCAUGUCAGGUAGGCCUUUUGCCUAGUGUAUCCAGUUGGUAAUGCUGCAGAGAUGCAUGAAGCUGGAGUCAGAGGCCACCUGUAGUGCUGCCCUGACUUCAGACCUGAGCCCAGCCCAGCAGCAGAGAGGGGGCUGGGAGCCAGAGGAGGCCUCACAGUAACAGCACAGACAGGUGGGGGCCCACAACAGGCCACAUGUGUUCAAACUCGAGUGUGGGCAGAGGAGCAUGGGAAGCUCAGAGCCCUGAGCUCACCCCACACCCAACACGAGUGGGGUCACCCAAAAUCAGCCUGUCAGCACUGUCCCAGCAGCCAGUCGCAUGCUACAUUAACAAAUUUUGCACAGGCCAGCAAGCAGGAUCGCUCACCAGCCACCCUCCUGAACUGGCCUAUGGGGCCCCAGGAUGAUGCCAUAGCCACAAGUCUGGAGUUCCUCAAAGUACCUGGUCAGCACAACUCAGUUAAACAAUGGGCAAAAGACCUGAACAGACACUUCGCCAGAGAAGAUGUACAGAUGCAAGUAAGCAUUUGAAAAGGUGCCCCACAUCGUAUGUCGUUAGGGAAUGGUCCAAUCCAGAACACUGAUGGCACCAAAGGCUGCUGAGCAUGUGGAGCAGCAGAACUCUCAUUCACUGCUGGUGAGAAAAAUGGCGCAGCCCCAAUAGGGAACCCUAAUGCAGACUCUGGACUUCACUGGAAAUGACGUGUCAGUGUAGCUGCGUCAGUUGUAACAAAUGCACCAGUCUGGUGGGCGUGUUGAUAACCGGGGCUGCGCACGUGGGGAGAGAGGACCUGUGGGAAUGCUCUACUUUCCACUCAUUUUUGCUGUGAACUUAAAACUGCUCUUACAAAAUAACAUUGUUUGUUGUUGUUGUUGUUGUUGUUGUUGUUGUUGUUUUUAAGUAUCUAGUCAGCUCCACACAUGACCCGGGCAGAGUGGGAAGUUGUAGAGUGCCCCAAGGAGAGAAAUGGAACCAGGUCUCAUGUGGGGCCAAGUGUGGGCUCCCUGUCCUCUCAGCUGGUCCCAGGAACUGAAGGGAAAUUUAGACAACUUGGAGAAAGACACUCUAGGGCUCGGGGCAAAGGGUGGUGUUGAUGAGAACCAUAUUUUUUUAUUGCUGGUGUAAGCACUUGUAUUUUUCUGAUUUUCCACUGGUUCGAUAAUAAGGGUAAAAGACAAUAAAGCAUACUUUUUAAGCUUUUGUUUAGAAGUUUUUUUUCCAAUAAAACUUCCCCAAAA